UACGGGGGGGGGCAAGCGUUGUUCGGAAUUACUGGGCGUAAAGGCUCGUAGGCGGCCAACUAAGUCAUACGUGAAAUCCCUCGGCUUAACCGGGGAACUGCGUCUGAUACUGGAUGGCUUGAGAUUGGGAGAGGGAUGCGGAAUUCCAGGUGUAGCGGUGAAAUGCGUAGAUAUCAGGAAGAACACCAAUGGCGAAAGCAGCUCUCUGGGACGGUACUGACGCUGAGACGCGAAAGCGUGGGGAGCGAACAGG
rnacentral:rRNA from 1 species